GAUGAACGCUGGCGGCGUGCUUAACACAUGCAAGUCGAACGGAAAGGCUCCUGCUUGCUGAGGUCCUCGAGUGGCGAACGGGUGAGUAACACGUGGGUGAUCUGCCCUGCACUUCGGGAUAAGCCUGGGAAACUGGGUCUAAUACCGGAUGGGACGAUGUUUUGCAUGCCAUUUUGGAAAGUUUUUUCGGUGUGGGAUGAGCUCGCGGCCUAUCAGCUUGUUGGUGGGGUAAUGGCCUACCAAGGCGUCGACGGGUAGCCGGCCUGAGAGGGUGUACGGCCACAUUGGGACUGAGGAACGGCCCAGACUCCUACGGGAGGCAGCAGUGGGGAAUAUUGCACAAUGGGCGGAAGCCUGAUGCAGCGACGCCGCGUGGGGGAUGACGGCCUUCGGGUUGUAAACUGCUUUCGCUAGGGAAGAAGCGCAAGUGACGGUACCUGGAGAAGAAGCACCGGCUAACUACGUG
rnacentral:rRNA from 1 species